UACGUAGGGUGCGAGCGUUGUCCGGAAUUAUUGGGCGUAAAGAGCUCGUAGGCGGUCUGUCGCGUCGAUCGUGAAAACUUGGGGCUUAACCCUGAGCUUGCGGUCGAUACGGGCAUGACUGGAGUUCGGCAGGGGAGACUGGAAUUCCUGGUGUAGCGGUGAAAUGCGUAGAUAUCGAGAGGAACACCUGCGGCGAAGGCGGUGCUCUGGGCCGGAACUGACGCUGAUGAGCGAAAGCGUGGGGAGCAAACAGG
rnacentral:rRNA from 1 species